rnacentral:tRNA from 1 species
UCGACCGAUGGCACAACGGGCGGGGACACGGCGAUCAGCACGUCGUCCGUGUCCGGUGCGGUGCGCGCGGCCCACGUCCGAGGCGUGGCGGUCGUG